rfam:Brassica oleracea var. oleracea cultivar TO1000 chromosome C8, whole genome shotgun sequence
AAGUGGUAACCAGAGAGAGACAGGGAACAAGCAGAGCAUGGAUUGAGUUUUUACCAAAACAUCAAAUGACUAUGUUUGGUCUCUUCCCAUGCACUGCCUCUUCCCUGGCUCCCUCUUUCUUUGUCUCC